rnacentral:tRNA from 1 species
UGGGGAGGUAGCUCAACGGUAGAGCAUCGAGCUCAAAACUCGAGUGUUGUGGGUUCGAACCCCACCCUCCCAA